UACAUAAGUAACCUGGCCUUUACAGGGGGAUAACUAUUGGAAACGAUAGCUAAGACCGCAUAGGUGUCAUAACCGCAUGGAGAUGGUAUGAAAUAUGCUACGGCAUAGGUAGAGGAUGGACUUAUGGCGCAUUAGCUAGUUGGAGGGGUAACGGCCCACCAAGGCGACGAUGCGUAGCCGACCUGAGAGGGUGACCGGCCACACUGGGACUGAGACACGGCCCAG
rnacentral:rRNA from 1 species